rnacentral:sRNA from 1 species
GCCGGGCACGGUGGUGCACACCUUUAAUCCCAGCACUUGGGAGGCAGAGACAGGCGGAUCUCAGUGAGUUCAAGGCCAGCCUGGUCUACAUAGUAAGUUCCAGGAUACUGUAGCUGGGGCUACAGGGAGACCCUGUCUCAAAAAGACCAAAAACAAAACAAUUUGAGACAGGGUCUCCUUGUAGCCCCAGCUGGCCUGGAACUUACUAUGUAGACCAGGCUGGCCUUGAACUUACAGAGAUCCUCCUGCCUCU